rnacentral:rRNA from 1 species
GACGAACGCUGGCGGCGUGCUUAACACAUGCAAGUCGAACGGAACGGCCCUGCUUUUUUGGGGUGCUCGAGUGGCGAAUGGGUGAGUAACACGUGAGUAACCUGCACUUGACUUUGGGCUAACUUCAGGAAAGUGGGGCCAAUACCGGAUAGGAGCUCCUGCUGCAUGGUGGGGGUGGGAAAGUUUCGGCGGUUGGGGAUGGACUCGCGGCGUAUCAGCUUGCUGGUGGGGUAGUGGCUUACCAAGGCGUUGACGGGUAGCCGGCCUGAGAGGGUGACCGGCCACAUUGGGACUGAGAUACGGCCCAGACUCCUACGGGAGGCAGCGGUGGAGAAUAGUGCACAAUGGGCGGAAGCCUGAUGCAGCAACGCCGCGUGCGGGAUGACGGCCUUCGGGUUGUAAACCGCUUUCGCCUGUGACGAAGCGUGAGUGACGGUAAUGGGUAAAGAAGCACCGGCUAACUACGUG